rnacentral:rRNA from 1 species
GGUCAAGCUACUAAGGGCAUAUGGGGAAUGCCUUGGUGCCAGAAGCCGAUGAAGGGCGUAGCAAGGCUGCGAUAAGCCCCGGAUAAGUGUCUAGCGACUUCAGCCGGGGAUUCCCGAAUGGGGAAACCUGCCUCAAUAGAGGCACUAUUCUUUAUGGAUAGAGGUAAGCGGGAGAACUGAAACAUCUAAGUACCCCGAGGAAAAAAAAUCAACCGAGACUCUCUUAGUAGCGGCGAGCGAAAAGGGAAUAGCCCAAACCUUACGGUCCUUACGGAGUAGGAUCCAGUGACCGUUUGGUGUUAUAGGAUCUAUAAUAGAUUUCCUACAAAUCUAAAAAAGUUACAAAUUGUUUACCUAGCUGAACAGUCCUGGAACGGCUGGCCAUAGCAGGUGAAAGCCCUUUAGGCGAAAGGUUAACAACUUUUUUAUAGACUCCUGAGUACAACGGGACACGUGAAAUCUUGUUGGAAUUUGGGGGGACCACCCUCCAAGGCUAAGUACUUCUGGCGACCGAUAGUGAACUAGUACCGUGAGGGAAAGGUGAAAAGCACCCCUUAAGGG